rnacentral:rRNA from 1 species
UCGAGGAUAUUUAGCAAUGGGCGAAAGCCUGACUAUGCGACGCCGCGUGAGGGAUGAAGGUUUUCGGAUCGUAAACCUCUUUCGAUGGGGAAGAAACUUUUUAGCAAAAUAUGCUAAAAACUGACGGUACCUAGAGAAGAAGCCACGGCCAACUCCGUGCCAGCAGCCGCGGUAAUACGGGGGUGGCGAGCGUUACUCGGAUUCAUUGGGUGUAAAGGGCAAGUAGGCGGCUAUAUAAGUUGGAGGUGAAAUACUUUGGCUUAACCAAAGAACUGCCUCCAAAACUGCAUAGCUUGAGGCUAGAAGAGGAGAGCGGAAUUCCCGGUGUAAGGGUGAAAUCUGUAGAUAUCGGGAGGAACGCCAGUUACGAAAGUGGCUCUCUUGUCUGGCCCUGACGCUAAAUUGCGAAAGCUAGGGUAGCAAACAGG